UUUAUGGAGAGUUUGAUCCUGGCUCAGGAUGAACGCUGGCGGCGUGCCUAAUACAUGCAAGUCGAGCGAACGGACGAGAAGCUUGCUUCUCUGAUGUUAGCGGCGGACGGGUGAGUAACACGUGGAUAACCUACCUAUAAGACUGGGAUAACUUCGGGAAACCGGAGCUAAUACCGGAUAAUAUUUUGAACCGCAUGGUUCAAAAGUGAAAGACGGUCUUGCUGUCACUUAUAGAUGGAUCCGCGCUGCAUUAGCUAGUUGGUAAGGUAACGGCUUACCAAGGCAACGAUGCAUAGCCGACCUGAGAGGGUGAUCGGCCACACUGGAACUGAGACACGGUCCAGAC
rnacentral:rRNA from 1 species